rnacentral:rRNA from 1 species
AGCCUUAAGAACAAUGAUUUAAGGUUAGACCUGCCCAAUGUGUUUAUUAUGAAUGGCCGCGGUACUCUGACCGUGCUAAGGUAGCGCAAUCAAUUGGUUUUUAAUUGGAGCCAGGUAUGAAUGGAGUUACGGGGUUCAGCUGUCUCUUAGCCAGUAUAUCUAAAUUACUAUUUAGGUGAAAAAGCCUAAAUUUUAAAGGGGGACGAGAAGACCCUUAGAGUUUUUCUUAUAUUGAUAGUGGUCAUAAUAGUUUUGUUGGGGCAACAAAGGAUCAAUAAAACAUCCUUAAUUUAGAUUAACCGAUUCUUAUAAACUUAAAUAAACUACCUUAGGGAUAACAGCAUAAUUUUAUAUAUAAGUUUGUGACCUCGAUGUUGGACUAGGAAACUAGGAGGCUAGCCGCUUUUUAGGUAAGUUCUGUUCGAACUAUUAUUCCU